CUAACCUUAAAAUGCGAUCAUCCGUGAUAACCAAUGUGAUUGUACUGUUUGGACUGCAUUUGUCGUAUUGGUGUUGGAACACGGUAGAUGCCAGCGGCGGGGCACUCGACACGAGCUCGAACUUUCAAUCUGGUUCAACUGGAAGUUCACAUUCCAAAGUUACGGCAUUCUCCGCGACACUUACCGAUGGAUUAGCGCAAGCCGUUGCUCACGAAGCUGGUUCCGAUACUUGUAACGAUGACCUAGCUUGUCUUACACUGGCUUCUCAUGAUCGACUAGGUUUAGAAGCUAUCAAAUCACUCCACAGUCAACUAGACGAUGAUGCCAAUGGAAAUGUGGAUCUUACAGAGUCAGAUGAUUUUUUAAGAGAAGAGUUACAAUAUGAAGCUGGGUAUGAAAGGAGACAGAGGGCUUUCCAUCAUAAUGAUGAUAUGCAUAUUAGUGUUCGAGAACUUUGGGAAGCCUGGCUAAGGUCAGAGGUUCAUAAUUGGACUAUAGAACAAACAUCAGAAUGGUUAGCUUCUAGUGUAGAUCUUCCACAAUAUGUUCCUACUUUUAUACAACACCGUGUAACUGGUGCUACACUUCCAAGAUUGGCUGUGAACAAUAUGCAAUACCUAAGUAAUGUGUUAGGCAUCAAGGAUCCCAUUCAUAAACAAAAAAUUGCCUUAAAAGCUAUGGAUGUAGUUCUUUUUGGGCCACCAAAGGAUACUGGACAUGGCAUCAAAGAUACGGUAUUAAUAACAUUGUUUUUCGGAGUGUGUAUAGGAUGUUGGUAUGCAUAUCGGCAGAGGCAAGACUCAAAGAAACAUCUCCACAGAAUGAUGAAGGAUAUGGAGAGUUUACAUAAAGCAGAAUUGGCAUUGGAGGACUUGCAAAAAGAAUUGGAGAGGGCACGAAUGGAACAAGAAAGUGUAACUACUGAGAAACAAAACUUAGAGAAACGUUUACAAGACGAAAGUGUAGGAUUGCACGCUUCUUACUCCGAUCUCGAAGUUUCUCAAUUAAAGGCAGAAAUCGAAAUGUUAAAAGUUGAAUUGCAACGUGCAGAGGGCGAACUCGAAGACAGAUGUUGGUCUCCUCCUUCUGGAUUGCAACAUUGGUUACAAUUAACUCACGAAAUUGAAAAUAAAGCAUAUACCAAGAAAAAGAUAUCUGCAGAGAAACAGUUGCAACAAGCACGAGAAGCAUGCGAGAAACUGCGAAAAAAACGAUCGAGUUUAGUAGGAGCGUUUGUUUCAACUCAUGGAAAAUCGAUUGAUGAAGUUGACAAAAGUAUAGUUGAGGCAAGAACUGCUCUAAACGAAGUCACCGUAGAAUUGCAAGAAAGAGUACAUCGUUGGAAGCAAAUUGAGCUGCUAUGUGGCUUUAAUAUAAUAAAUAAUAAUGGUCUAAGUUAUUUAGAAACUGUUCUAUACAGAGGAACUCCUAACGGUCGAGGUCUUGGACUCAGAGGUCGACUCAGUAGCCAAGAUGACUUAGACGACGAAGCAAGUUCAGUUUACUCGCCUUCAACAUGUGGUGCCGCAGGUACACUAGACAGCCUAAUGUGGAAGGAGUCGUCGGUUCCUCCAGACUCGUCCAGCAGUGAAACCGGGAAGGAUACACCACCAGAGAGUAACGUUGUACAUUUCACCGUCGGCGAUGGGCCCGUCGAGCCCGUCAGAGCAUCCAGCAAAGAGAAGUCCAACAUCAUGCGUUCCCACAGUCAAGACACGAGCAUGCCUGUCGCCGUCGAGAACAAGACUACCUCACCAUUCCUGUCGAAAUCGUCUUAUUCAGAGAAUUCGUUGGAUUCGUCGAGCCAAGAUCGAUCAGGGCAGCAAAAAAUUGGUCCAACGUUCGCGACGACCGCGAGUACCACCAGCAUCAACUCCACGACAACGACGAGCAUAUCGAGCAGUAGCAGGAAAGCGCUGAAGGAGCCGCAACAACAGUCAACGGUGGACGACGAAACGUUAUCGACGGACUCGAACUCGACCACGGACAACGACGAGUCGAAAAAACGACGCCGGAAGAUGCUGUUCACGUUCAGGAGGAACAAGACCAAGGUCACGUUAUGAAGCCCGCUAGUCAACAUAACAUACACUAUAUAUCUGUGUUGUAACGUUCUUACUUAACGCUAACUCACCUGCGAUCGAUUAAUUGUGUCAUUACGAGCCGCAACGUGCACUUAAAACAUGAUGAAAACGACUUGUCUCCGCGAACCGGUUGAUCAUUAAUUAGCGAUUAGAUACAGCCGGUACAUAUACGUAUACGUACAUACAGACACACAUUAUCUGUACACGCAAAUAGAGGGACAGGUAUAGUUUGGCGGAACAUCGAUGACUUCCCUUCGUUGACCCUUUGGUCUGCAUCAAAUCGGACGUUGGCAUUUAAUCUCGCUUCUAUACAAGCCCAAUGCUAUUGAAAUUGAUUGUACGAGUUUGAGAGCUUCCAUCGUGUAUUGCUGUAUUGCAGAAGGCACGUAGAAAAACAGGGGAAAUUAGAAAGUAUCGUAUGAAUUAUGGAAAUGGUACUUACUCUUCAGUAAACUCUCGAUGGAAGAGCAUUCAAAUACGACUUAGGGGUUAGUUACUUAGUCAAUCCAGUUUCGGUAGUUUCUAGGUACUGUAUGUAAUUGGUGUCGAAGCUCCUUGUAGUAUAAAUAUCGCAAACAAACGCAGCUACGAACGUUCAAAUCUUAUUAGAUUUUGAGAAACGUAGCUGCCUCUUUGCAAUCUGUACAUUAAUGUAUGAUACAAGCAUAAGGAAGGGAUUUUGUUAAGGAAUUGUACAGUAUGAGCUUGACGCAUAACGAAAUUGAUUAUGCCAGUGUCUGAUUAAUUAUACAAUAAUAGUAGUGUCACGGUUUAAAGAAGCGUUAGUUAAGUAAGUCUAAGAAAACGAGAAAAACAUACCUAACGGCCAACGAUGGAGAGAUAGAUAAUUCUAAGAGUUAGAAGCGAUGUUCCGCUCUGCUACUGUCGUGUAGAAUGUUUUUGGUGCCCUGCUGUGUCUCCUGUUCUGCCAAAUCUUCGUUCUGUUCGCAACCAGACAUCAUCAAGCGACGUCCAAUUUAGACAGCUAGAUUUUUAACCUCGCGAAAUUCUUUAAUCACGACAAUAUUUUGGCUCAGGGAUGGGCGAUCUUUUCUCUAUACCCGUGUACCUCCUUUUCAAUUUCAGGUAGAAUUGUAUACCGACAGCUCUCUGUCUCAUUCAUUGUAAUUUAAAUUGAGCUUCUUUUUCGCUGGAACGUUCCUUUAAUUUCGCCUUUGUACUCCACUGAAUAGUAUCCAGCAGCUGUUCACUUUUCGAUUAGUCUCUCUGAAAUAAAAGAAUCUCAAUUUUAAAUAUUUAUAAUAAAUAUAAAUUGUCUUUGGAUUAAGUUUUGUAGUAAGUUAUGAUAGUGAAAAUUGAUCUUUGAACAGCUACAAUGAACACGAUAUUUUACAAUCUCUAACAACGUAUUGACCUCUUCUUUGAAGCAGUGGAAAUAUUUUACUUGGUCCAUUCCUAUUCUUUCGUGCAUUUUCAUUCUUAAAAUUAUUUCGAACGCCAGUAAAACAAUGAAUGAAGUUCUAGAAUGAUUUCAUAAUCGAUUACAAUUUAUAAAAAUGUAUGUUCCUCCGAUGUUUCUCCAUGACGAUACUCGGCCUAAGUAAUCAUUAAGCGAAAUCUACUAAGAAAGAAGUUUCUGUCGUAUCUGCUUUAACAAGUUCUUCAUUUCUUGACUAUAAUUCACGAGUCCGGUAUUAUAAUUCCAACAUAGAUUUUUAUUUAAAGAAAAAGAAAAGCGAUCGCUCAUUCCUAGAUCCAUCGUGACUUGUUUCUCUUGCGCAAAAACACGAAAUUCUAGCGUACUGAAGCUUUCGUUCCUUUCUUUUUUUGUUUCUUUUUCAAUCGAUGAACUAGUGGUAGUCGUUAAAUGUAAAUCUUCUUUCUGUUUUCUUUUGUCUUUUCUCCCUUUUAUUUUUCGUAUUCAUUGUUUUUUUGGCCCCUUCAGUACAGGUCCAGCACAAAUUCUUCCUCUUCGCCUUCCUAUUUGAUUUCUUAAUAUACACUUAAAUAUCGCGAUCUCACACACUUUAUCAUUUUUUAUCUUUGCUUUGCUUUUUGCAAAUUACAAUUGUCCUCUAUCUUUCUUCGUAUUACGCUGAGUUAUUAUAUCCUUCUUUAUCCGAAUGUGUCUUCAUUUCUUGAAAAACUUGCGAAAUUUAAUGACGAUAUCUUCCAUUUAAUCGCGUUCGGUUAAAUAGCACGAAUAUCAGAUUCCAUUGUUGAAUUUUGUAUAUCUGUAAGGAGCAGAGCUCUGUUCUGAAAUAGGCGAUAAUAAGAUAAGAGAAUACCUAAAAUAUCUUUAACUAUUAAGUCAUCCCACGAGUGAGGUAGCGUUUUUAAUAUUAUCUUCUUAAGAACACAAUUAAAUACAAAUAAACACAAUAAAAACACAAAUAACAAUUGAAAGAGGAUUUGCAGUUGAUCAGAUUUCAAGUAUUUUCCAAAGUAUGUGAAUUUUGGGUAAUUCUCAUUUUUUAGAAGUAAAAUUGUUCACCUAACCGCAGUCAACCAUAAUAUUAGUUCCUUGUUUGAUAAAAUUCAUACUUGUGGAAUGACAUAAUAACAAAUAAUCAUAAAGAGAUUUAGGACACUCAUCCUUCGAGGUUCAUGAAGAUUUGUAAAUAGAAUAUCGCUGAAAAGCAAUAAUCAUUAAGACGUCUCUGUUUUUCUUCCUAUACGUGACUUUACACGAUAAUGUUUGCAAGUAUUACUAGGUUUAACACUACGAAUAAAGCUCACGAAUCUCAAAGGAGAGAGAGGAAGGGAACUAGCGUAAAAACCGACUUUUGUGCUUGCCUUGUACCAUAUAGAGAAUUUCUAGUUCAAAUUAUUUGCAGUCUUCCAUGAAUCAUAAAAGAGUACAUAAAUCGUGACGUUUUAUCGUCGCGUUUUUUAUUCAAUUUGUGCGCCGUUUAUUCUUCUUUUCUUCUUCUUUUUUCAAACGACUCGUUCAUAAUAUUGCGACACCUUCUAAUGUUUAAACGAUUAUGGUCUGCCUGAAAUCAAUUAGUCGUUCAAGGCCAUCGAAUAAUCUCUAUUGUUUCAUAUACUUUAGAAUUUCGUUCAUCGCUAAAUUUACGUUCAUCAUUAUAAUAGUGGAGAACGCUAUUACACGGAUUAUCUAGAAAUCUGAAAGCUUAGAAUAUUAUUAGUACGGAAUGGAAAGCACUAUCUAGCUCCCUUUGUAACAGCGUUGAAAAAUUAUCGAGAUAGAGGUUUAGCAAGGAGGAAAGGGUACGAUGAUUUAUAAUUAAGAAAGUGACCUUAAGUGACUGACUGUUUUUGGUCAGACUGUAGAAUUAACUUAUUAUCGCUUCCUCGUAUUACGCAUAAUUCUCUACAGUUGUCGCGCGUGGCAACGAACAUACAAUACAGGACGAAGUGGUUUCUUCCUUUCUUAUCAUAUUUUUCUCAUUUUAUGUAUAUACACUGUAUAUGUACGUAUAUACAUUAUGUACACACACACACAUGCACACACAAGUAUGUCCGUGUACAUAUAAACGUAGAAGCUUAAAAGCGGUGAGGCUGGAACUCUCUGAAACUUAUACCAUGUAAAGAAGGAUAGUGCGAUAAGAUUUAAACUCGAGUAUUAAAUCGACCAUUAUCACAUGAAUAUGCGAAGCUACUGUUACAGACAAUUUUGAUAAGUGUCAUCGCCCUCGCGUCGAUUAACUUUCCGUGCGCCGGUUUCUCCAUAAUCGAAGAGGAAUUCUAUCUUGGAAAUUUAAUGAUGCGCUCGACUCGAAUUCUAAUUAGCAAAAGUUACGUUCGUAAUUGGCACGUGAAAUCGGAAAAUUCGAGAGUUAGGAGGUUCGAGAAGCUGAAAACUUGGAAGCUUAACAAUUUGAAGGUCAUUGAAAUACGCCAACGUCUAGAAAUUGAGGAAGAUGAAAAUUCGAGAGAACCUAGACCACGGAGAGUUUGAACAAACGCUUAUUGUCCUUUUUGUUUCACUUGUUCUUCCAAAAUGCCUGCACGAUUAAUCGACCACUUUCGCUUGAUCUUCUCUCUUGUGCUACCCGAUGUUUUUAAUAUUUAUUUUGUUGUGCAUCUUUACCCUGACUCAAGAGCAGUGGAUUUCGUUCGCUAUUUUGCGGUUUUUCUACGUGUAUCCUGGAAAAUCUUCCUUUUGUUUCGCCCUUAUUCCUUUUCCCUUUCACGCGACGCGCAUUCCUCUUGCCAGCUUAUUGUUCCAGAUGACGCUUACUUCGCUCCUCUCCUAACUGGCAAACUGACACAUUUGUAUCUCAGGGUUAGUCUCAGUUUCUUUUUCUGAUCACGACAACGUACUAAUUAUGAGUACGAUCACGAGUGUGUUUUUCGGGGGCAUCUCUCUAUCUGUAGAGAUACACACGUUUGAACAGACAUCGCGCGACCCUCUGGACGAGUUACUUAGGGACGUAUUAUAAGAGAGCAAUAGGCGAAGCGAUCUGACGUUCAAUGGACCAAGUUCGAUUAACGUUAUGUAGCGUUACGUGAAAAAUAAGAAGAGGUAUAGUUGCAAGCAUCGAUAGUUGGAACGUUCUUCUAGGCUCAAUCAUAGUAUUAUAGAAUAGUAGCAUCAGGGAAGAUUGUCGUAGUUAAGUAUUUAAACAAACUUUUAUCUCGAACGAGAUAUCACAGCUUGCGAGGGCUUCCGUAUAUGUAAAAAUACAGCCGUAUAAUUGUAUCAAUUUUAUCGUAACACACUGUUUACCAAUUAUACAAAUCUGCCAACUUUAUCAUUACAGUAGUAUCGUUGUUAAAAUGCUUGAGAGUAAAUGGUCCAAACUCUAUUCAGGGCACACUUUUUCGAUAUUUAAAGAUGUAGAUAACGAAACUGCUAGGUAAACGUAGCGUUAAAUUUGAGAAAGUGUGUAUCCGUUGAUUCAUCUGCAGUCUUCUACAGCAGAAAAGUUUUUUCAAAAAUAUCUUUCUUCUUUAGCUUGUAUCCGAUUGUUCCGCGAAAAGGUUUCAUCUUCGAAUGAAAUCAAUUUUCCUAUAGGUAUACGAUGCAUUACGUUCGAUUAAAAACUUAAGACUGCAAUGAAUUAAUAAGUGAGAAAAUCUUGCAAUAGCAAUAUGUAACACGUGUGACACUCGUGUUCCCCAGCAGAACUGAAAAAGAAAUAUUGUUAAUAUCUGAUGUAUAAAUCAUGUUUCCCUUUGUCGGGGAUGCUAUGUUCUCCAAAUGAAAAGAAACAAGAAAGAAGAAAGAAGCUCACUCCCACGAUUUAAGUCGUUGAUCAAACCGCGUGACAUCUUUAUGGUUGUAUGAUUUAUCGUAAGAGUUGACAUACGGAAUAAAAGCAAAGGUCAAUUUUAACUAGCUCUUUGCGACGUUCUUCUCGUGCAAACUAUAAAUUGUAUUCCCUGCGUGAAACCUGGGAACCUUUCUCGACUGGGAAAAGAAAUCACAGGCCGUCCGAAAAAUCGUGUACCGUCCUUGUAAGGCGUGAUUCUCUUCUCGUCUGUUGCAAUAUCGAGCACGAUUUACGCGAUCGUAGAACGAUUUAUUCGCAUGAAUUUAUAGAAUGAUAAUAGAAAGAUGUAAUACGACUAAGUUCGUUGGCUUCUCCUUCCAACGUUUCCGUUCCAAGAGACCCGGACGAACGCAGAGUCGUCGAGAAUUAUGCAGAUACAUCAUCGAUCACUAACAAUUUCUGUGAGAAUAAAAUGUGUCAGCUUCGUUUUAACGUGUUACUUCGUGAUCGACCCAUUAAGUACCAGCUUUAAGAUGGUUUGCCAGGUUGUGAAUAUUCUAUGUAUCAUAUGUGCCCCUUUCAAUAGUCUUCUCGUUCUCUUCGGACUGUUCUAUGUAGUUCUUAAGCGAACGUAAUAUAACGUUAACCAUUCCUACAAAUAAUUAAUAGCUGUUGAGAAUUCGUAAUAACUUGUUGGAAAGAUAGUAGCGAUUAAAACGAUGAGAAUAUCUUAGAAGAUUCUUAAAAGCGAAGUACUGUGAAUAUGUGUACUUUAUAGUUGAAAAUAAAACUAUGUUGUAUACACUGACUUAUUGUUAGCUUGAGUGGUAGAGUCUGGCUGUUUUUCUCUCUUCGAUUUUUCGUCAAUUCUUCUGACGUACGUGGUAUGCGUGUGUACUAUGAUACAAGUGGUAAUCUGCAAUCUUUCUUACCUCAUAUGAUAGCCCAGCAACAAUAUGUCGGAAAGCGAGCGUUUAAAAAAUAAUUUGAUAUAAGUUUCUCAGGAACGUUAUGUUAUCUGUUCCCCUGGUGUUCCGUAAUAAUUAAUUUCGUUUGUCCCCUUUUCCUGUGUUUAAUAUUCUUGAUAUCAAACGAAUCGUUUGAGACGUUACAUUUGUCAUUAGCACCGAAUUAUGGCGAUAGAAGUUGUAAAAAAGUUAAGGAGCUUCUCAUCGUGGUAUAAGAGUCGAAAUUAUUCAAAAAAACAUAUAAAUUCUGGAACGAUCGAAUUUAGAAAGAGAAAGAAAACGAGGAAGAAUUUUGAAACAAGCGUAAUGAAACGUGACGAAGUCGUUGUCAAAACUCUAGGGAAAACGGAGGUUUCAAGCAACAUAACACAUACAAAUGCUGGUACUUAAUGGACCCGUUAAAAGGUCGUCACAGUGCGUAGAAUUUCUUAGGACACUUCAGAUCAAAAUGUAUUUUAUAAUUACGAGUGAUGUUUAUAAAGGACAGUUUUUAAGAUUGUGUAUAUCUUGUUAUAUGUUAUAUCGCUUGAUACUGAAAUCUGACUCCAGUUUACUAAUUAUUGGUAGAGACGAAGAGUGAACGAUAGAAUGCAAGAGAUGCGAAAAGGAAGAAUACGUGUAUAGUUCAAAGGGUAACACAAUGCAACAACUCAGUUGGUCGUAAUGCGCUAUUUUAUUAGAAAAACGUUAUUAAAUAGUUUGGACCGGACACACACGCAAAACAUGUUUUCCAUCGGUUUUACACCAAUGUUGACUGCCGACAAAAUUAGACAUGGUUGCAGCAAAUUAGAAUUUGUAGCCUUCUGUGGCUUAGGUUCAUACAGUUUAUACAGUUCAAGAUUUUCAGAUGUAAAUUCUAGUUUUUCUCUGAAACAAUAUGUUAAAGUCUAUAGUCCAAAUAGUUUUAUCAGGUUGCAGUGAUCAAGUGUGUUGUUUUUUUUUCUUACGAAUAAUUAUUUUAUAUAUAAUGUAUAAUACAAUAUAUAUAAGAUUAUUUUAUAAUUUCUUUAUUGAUUUCUAUUCUCUCUUUCCUAAGUUUUAUUAAAAGUCUAAAAGGUACUGCCUAUUUGAUAAAACUGGAUGUAACUAUAGAAUAUCCUCCCAAAAAGGCAAGAAAUACAAUCUGAAGGUCUCAAACGGCAUUAAACAUGGAAACAAUUGCGCGAAGAACGAAAUAACACACUCAUCAACAAUUAAGUCCGGUAACUAAUACUAGCGAAUAUCUUUGUCAUUAAUUUAAAACCAUGUAUAAACAUCUGCACACGCCGUAACGAUCUUAUAAUAGUCUUUAGGCUAGAAUGGUCUAACUGUGACCUAACGAUCAACUAACUAUAACUGCACAAAUCUAUGGUCGUUCAUCUUUGUGAUUAACGAUCACAGCAAUGGAUACAUUGGCUUCAAGUUAGUCUAUAAAUUCUCAAAUAAUUGUAUACUGCUACAUGACUCAGGCUAAGAUCAAUUUUCCUGCCCUACAAAGAUGUUUUUACAUAAAAAGGAUUUAUUCAUUGAGUACAUUCAAAUUUCAAUGUAAUCCAACUUAUUUGAGAAUUUAUCGACCAACUUGGAUAUUAACAAAUAAAUUAAUCGUUAGAUAUUUCGUCACUGGUAUCAUGAUACUUGAUUAGAAAUCGUAUUACGUGUUCAGAUUUUCAACUAGAAAUCCAGAAUUAUAGGACAAAUUGUAUAAACCAUCAGUCUUAUGAAAACACAAGCAUACUUAUUAACAAUCGAACAAUGGAUUUGAAAUACUGAUUUCGCGAUAAACAGAUUUUCUUUUGAACAACGAAUAAAGAAGCAUUCGAGUUCCUAUUGAGUCGAAUAAUUUUCCACAAAAAAAAAAAAAAGAAAAAAGAGAAGAAGAAAGAA